GAUAAAUAAUAUAGUAUUGAAUUAUAAAGAAUUAUUUUUAUUUUCGAAGGAAUUAUAAAGAAUUGAAAAGGAAGAAAAAAAGUCACGGAUUUUGCCCCUCUCUCUAACGGUGUUCUCUUUUCUUUGUUGGGAUUUCUUUCUUGGCUUGCAGUCCCUCGGUUUAAUCGAGCUCCUCACCCCCAGUGCGCCUUCCUUUUUUCCCUUUGAGUAGGAGAAAACCCUUCUCUAACCUGACCUGAAAUGUGGGCUAUCCCUUUACAACUCUAGGUUGGAAUUUUAAUGCCUCUUAUGGGCUAGUUUUCCGAGUCUUCUAUGCUUCAUAGUGAGGGCCUUGUUUAUAAUGUGUGUUUAGCAUUCAAAAGGUGAAGGAGGUAGGUCUUGGUGUUGUCCAAAGCCCCUCAUUUGAGAUCAACUAUGGUAUGCUCGUUGGGUGGCUCAGCGAACGAAACUCGGACUAUGAAUGGGCUCGUUGUCUUCUGUCACAGACUUAGUGAUUUCAACACUAAAACCGCGUGGCACUUAGCUAGUUGAAUGGCCUAAGUCAACCUUAACUAUGUUAGCCCACCAACAAGUAGACUGACUUGAGUGACAGAAGUCACUUAAGGCAGCCAAGUGCACAAAAGGAACAACGGAAGAGAAUUUGGCAAAGAGGAAAAUUGUAUAUCUCUUGAAGUAAACUUUACAAGGCUUUUGUGUACAAG
rnacentral:misc_RNA from 1 species